rnacentral:pre_miRNA from 1 species
CCUUAUCACUUCUCUUCAGCCAGUUAGUUAUGUAACAAGCGAAAAGCUUGAAUAAAAUCAAUCGCUUUUCGCUUAAUUGGACGGAGAAUUGAUAAGGGC